GUUUUUUCCCACAAAAUAGCUUUAUUAAAGACAGAAAUACUCCUCAGUUUCAUUAUCUUUCCAGGUGGCUGGUCUCAGACGAACCCGCAGGUGAAGAAGCCAGAUGUGGAGGUCCUGGGUUGGCGAUGGUCUAUUUGUGGUCUGCGUUGGCCAUAGUCCCCGCCUGCUUCAAGGAGACCACCAUCGUCCCAGUGUCCAAGAAAAACAAGAUGAUGUGUCCAAAUGACUAUCACCCCGUCAUACUCAUCCCAGUCAUCAUGAAGUGUCAAAAGAGGCUGGUCAUGGCCCACAUCAAGGCCAGCAUGCCAGCAGUCUCUGUAUCGCAACACAUGUUCUAUGGGGAUCACCAGUCUUUGUCUGUUUGGUACAAAUACAACAUGUAGCACCUCAGAGCCCAACUGCUAGAGCGGACAAGCAGUGUUCAACAUCAGUAGCAUCAAGCACAAGGGCUGCCUGGUCACACAUUUCUGCAACACCACAUCCACUUCUUCCAUAUUCCUGGGAGUCGGCUACAUCGUCUCAUAGACCUGCUCCAGCACCAAUCUGCAACGGGGUUGGCUCCGUACAACUACCUCUCACAGUGGCCCUUGGUGCAGCCCUGGUGGCCAUCUGGAGCACCUUAGCCUAGACAAACCAUUCACAAUAAGGAUACCUCCUCCAUAGGUUUCCAUGUGUUGUUAUAGUUCUUAAAUACAUAAAAUGUACUAAAACAAGUAAUAUUCUGAAAAAGACAGCAAGUUUUAUGCAGGCUAGUUUCACUAAGCUUUAGUUCUGCUUUAGUUCUGUGUAUUCCGGGUUUCCAAGCUGGUUACGGGUGCACCUCAGCCACGCUCAAGGUACUAAACGAUAUAACCGCCAUCGAUAAAAGACAGUACUAUGUCUUCAUCGACCUGGCCAAGGCUUUCGACUCUGUCAAUCACCGCAUUCGCAUCGGCAGACUCAACAGCAUUGGUUUCUCAAAUGACUGCCAACUACUUCUCAGACAGAGUUCUGUGUGUCAAAUCGGAGGGCCUGUUGUCUGGACCUUUUAAUUUUUUUAUUUUACCUUUAUUUAACUAGGCAAGUCAGUUAAGAACAAAUUCUUAUUUGGCAGUCUCUAUGGGGGUACCACAGGGUUCAAUUCUCGGGCCGACUCUUUUCGGUGUAUAUAUCAACAAUGUCGCUCUUGCUGCAGGUGAUUCCCUGAUCCACCUCUACGCAGUCGACAUUUUGUAUACAUCUGGCCCUUCUCUGGACACUGUGUUAACAAACCUCCAGAUGAGCUUCAAUGCCAUACAACACUCCUUCCGUGGCCUCCCAACUGCUCUAAAACGCUAGUAAAAGCAAAUGCUUGUUUUUCAACUAGCAUCACUACUCUGGACGGUUCUAACUUAGAAUAUGUGGACAACUACAAAUACCUAGGUGUCUGGAUAGACUGUAAACUCUCCUUCCAGACUCAUAUUAAACAUCUCCAAUCCAAAAUUAAAUCUAGAUCUAAAUCUAAAACUGACUAUCCUACCGAUCCUCGACGAUGUCAUUUUCAAAAUAGCUUCCAAUACUAUACUCAGCAAACUGGAUGCAGUCUAUCACAGUGUCAUCCGUUUUGUUACCAAAGCCCCAUAUACCACCCACCACUGCGACUUGUAUGCUCUAGUCGGCUGGCCCUCACUACAUAUUCGUCGCCAGACCCACUGGCUCCAGGUCAAUUAUAAGUCGAUGCUAGGUAAAGCUCCGCUUUAUUUCAGCUCACUGGUCACGAUAACAACACCCACCCAUUGCACACGCUCCAGCAGGUGUAUCUCACUGGUCAUCCCCAAAGCAAACACCUCCUUUGGCCACCUUUCCUUCCAGUUCUCUGCUGCCAAUG
ensembl:lncRNA